GCCGGAGUGGCGGAAUUGGCAGACGCGCUGGAUUCAAAAUCCAGUGCCCGCAAGGGCGUGUGGGUUCGAGUCCCACCUCCGGUA
rnacentral:tRNA from 2 species